rnacentral:rRNA from 1 species
AAUAUUGGACAAUGGGCGCAAGCCUGAUCCAGCCAUGCCGCGUGAGUGAAGAAGGCCUUCGGGUUGUAAAGCUCUUUUGUCCGGAAAGAAAAACUCUCGGUUAAUACCCGGGGGUUCUUACGGUACCGGAAGAAUAAGCACCGGCUAACUUCGUGCCCGCAGCCGCGGUCAUACGUAGGGUCCAAGCGUUAUCCGGAAUUACUGGGCGUAAAGAGUUGCGUAGGUGGCAUAGUAAGCGAGUAGUGAAAGCGUGUGGCUCAACCAUACAUCCAUUACUUGAACUGCUAAGCUAGAGAACGAGAGAGGUAGAUGGAAUUCCUGAUGUAGGGGUAAUAUCCGUAGAUAUCAGGAGGAACACCGAUGGCGUAGGCAGUCUACUGGCUCGUUUCUGACACUAAGGCACGAAAGCGUGGGGAGCAAAC